CCUGGAUCACCCUAGAAACCCUAAAAGACCUUCUUGGGCUGAAAAUGAAGGACCUUGAAGCUCCUCUUGUGAUGGGGGAACACUUCUCUUGGUGACAGCGAAGAGGCCACAGUUCCUGCCUCCUGCACAGAACAUCAAAACUAGUGAAAGAAGAUUCCUCACGGCGCUGAAAAGCUGUCCUCCACACUGGAGCCCUGUCUGUGGGUUGCUGAUUUCACCUGUGAUUUCACUUCUGCUGAGUCACCUUGCUGCUUCUG
rnacentral:lncRNA from 1 species